rnacentral:misc_RNA from 1 species
GAUGAAGAACGUAGCGAAAUGCGAUAAGUAAUGUGAAUUGCAGAAUUCAGUGAAUCAUCGAAUCUUUGAACGCACAUUGCGCCCGCCAGUAUUCUGGCGGGCAUGCCUGUUCGAGCGUCAUUUUAACCCUCAAGACCCCUUCGGGGGACUUGGUGUUGGGGACCGGCACAGGGGCCUGCCUGCUUGUCUUGCAGCGCCCUCGCCGCCCCCGAAAUGAAUUGGCGGCCUCGUCGCGGCCUCCCCUGCGUAGUAGCACAAACCUCGCAACGGGAACGUGACGGCGGCCACUGCCGUAAAACAACCCAAUUUUAUUAGAGUUGACCUCGAAUCAGGUAGGAAUACCCGCUGAACUUAAGCAUAUCAAUAAGCGGAGGA